rnacentral:rRNA from 1 species
GACGAACGCUGGCGGCGUGCUUAACACAUGCAAGUCGAACGAAGAGCGACGGAAGCUUGCUUCUAUCAAUCUUAGUGGCGAACGGGUGAGUAACGCGUAAUCAACCUGCCCUUCAGAGGGGGACAACAGUUGGAAACGACUGCUAAUACCGCAUACGAUCUAAUCUCGGCAUCGAGGAUGGAUGAAAGGUGGCCUCUACAUGUAAGCUAUCACUGAAGGAGGGGAUUGCGUCUGAUUAGCUAGUUGGAGGGGUAACGGCCCACCAAGGCGAUGAUCAGUAGCCGGUCUGAGAGGAUGAACGGCCACAUUGGGACUGAGACACGGCCCAGACUCCUACGGGAGGCAGCAGUGGGGAAUCUUCCGCAAUGGACGAAAGUCUGACGGAGCAACGCCGCGUGAGUGAUGACGGCCUUCGGGUUGUAAAGCUCUGUUAAUCGGGACGAAAGGCCCUUUC